GACGAACGCUGGCGGCGUGCUUAACACAUGCAAGUCGAACGAUGACGACCGAGCUUGCUCGGUCUGAUUAGUGGCGAACGGGUGAGUAACACGUGAGCAACCUGCCCUUCACUCUGGGAUAACCUCGGGAAAUCGGGGCUAAUACCGGAUAUGAGCUCCCGUCGCAUGGCGGGUGUUGGAAAGUUUUUCGGUGAAGGAUGGGCUCGCGGCCUAUCAGUUUGUUGGUGAGGUAGUGGCUCACCAAGGCGAUGACGGGUAGCCGGCCUGAGAGGGCGACCGGCCACACUGGGACUGAGACACGGCCCAGACUCCUACGGGAGGCAGCAGUGGGGAAUAUUGCACAAUGGGCGAAAGCCUGAUGCAGCGACGCCGCGUGAGGGAUGACGGCCUUCGGGUUGUAAACCUCUUUCAGCAGGGAAGAAGCGAAAGUGACGGUACCUGCAGAAGAAGCGCCGGCUAACUACGUG
rnacentral:rRNA from 1 species